AGAGAGAGAGAGAGAGAGAGUAGUUGCAAAGGACAUGUGCCCAUCAAACUCAAAUAAGGCCACAAGCUGGGAUCUAUAUGGUAUUGUUGUUAGAACUUUUAUAUAUAUAUAUAUAAGCACAAACUUGAACAUGUUGAUUGGAGUCCAUAACAAUUAGUCUUAAUGUAAUUUCAAACUGUUAGAACUUUUAUGAAACUGCAUUUUGCAACAUCUAAAAGAAUGGUUUUUGAAAUGUAAUUUCAACCGGUAUGCUAAACAUGCAAUUAACAGAAUUGGUUCACAAGCAAAUGCAACACUAUAAUGGGCAUAUUAUAAGGCUACUCCAAUGGAUGACCAUUAGUCUACAACUGAACAACCAAAACCUUAGGCAAGGCAUGACCAGAAAUAUAUCAUUAUUAAAAAAAUAAAUAAAUAAAGCAAAGAGAACUAGAUAGUGAAAAUUUGGAGGGAAAAAAUGGUAAACAUGAGUCAAUAUUAUAUUCCACCAAAAAUUAAAGUGGAAUAUCAGACUGGAAUUAUCAUUUAAUGAUACUGAAGCAUUAUUAGUUAGCCAUAGAGCCCGUCAAAUGUGUGAUGUGACAAAGAAUGCUCUAAAGACAAAACAAUUUAGUCACUUCUACUUCAAGAUACAUAAAGACACAUAGGGGGAGGGGAAGAAACAACAAAUUUAAGUGAGCAUCACCUUACAACAUAUAGUCUAAUAGUCGUACUUUUUUCCAUCUAACACAAAACUCA
rnacentral:misc_RNA from 1 species